AAUCAUAGAAUCAUAGAAUAGUAGAGUUGGAAGAGACCACAUGGGCCAUCUAGUCCAACCCCCUGCUAAGAAGCAGGAAAUCGCAUUCAAAGCACCCCCGACAGAUGGCCAUCCAGCCUCUGCUUAAAAGCCUCCAAGGAAGGAGCCUCCACCACGGCCCCGGGGAGAGAGUUCCACUGUCGAACAGCUCUCACAGUGAGGAAGUUCUUCCUGAUGUUCAGGUGGAAUCUCCUUUCCUGUAGUUUGAAGCCAUUGUUCCGUGUCCUAGUCUGCAGGGCAGCAGAAAACAAGCUUGCUCCCUCUUCCCUAUGACUUCCCUUCACAUAUUUGUACAUGGCUAUCAUGUCUCCUCUCAGCCUUCUCUUCUGCAGGCUAAACAUGCCCAGCUCUUUAAGCCGCUCCUCAUAGGGCUUGUUCUCCAGACCCUUAAUCAUUUUAGUCGCCCUCCUCUGGACGCUUUCCAGCUUGUCAACAUCUCCCUGUUCUUAAACACAGGGGCCCAUUGGCUAGGGGCCCCAUCUUCUUGCCAAAAACUUUUUUUACAAUUGAUUUUGCUUAUGUGGUACAAUUCUAAAUGUGAAGGCCUUCUGUUCUAGAGCAAUUCCAGAGAUAAUGAUAGAGCUGAUAAUCUAUGGGAGUGUGCCACAAAGCAGGCAGUGUAGGUCUACCGGGCCGACCCCCUUCAGGGCCCAAGUAAGGGGCCUCAUAACUUAACUAGCACAGAGCCUCAUUUGUCCUAAAUCCAGCACUGGAGACAAUCCAUUUUCAUUAUCUCUCAUUUCUUUCCCACUUGAUGGGAGCAGGAAUUAUGCUUACCUGCAGGAGGACUCCAGUCCCUUACUUAUUCAAUAUCACGCCUUUCUCCCAAUACUGGAGUGGCGCAUGGUGUGCAUUAAAACAAGAAGAAGCUUAAAAAACCAGUCAAUUAUAACCCUAAAGAGCAAUUUAAAAACAAUUAAAUAAGCUAUCAUGUUUAAACCAAGUGCUGAAUUAAAAUGCUUUAAAAGCAUUUAAAAACAUAAUGAGAAAAGAGAGGAGUGCAAAUACCACCCCCCUCAACAAUUAAGAAGAUUCUUCACGUGUAGCCUGCCUAAAUGAAAAGGUAUUUGCCCAGUGCAGGGAGAGCAGAGCCAGACUAGAUUCCCACGGAAGAGAGUUCCACAGUCUGGGAGUAUCCACCAAGAAAAUCCUUAUCAAAUCUGUCUGUGGGGAUGGUGGGGAUGACAGAAAGCCUUCCCUAAAUAACUCAGGGUGAGAUACAGGUAGUUUAGACCCAAACAUUUUAUGUCAUAUGAUAGGUUUUUGUGAUGUCUAGGUGUGGGACAGUUCAAGGCUAAAGUGGCAGGUCAGAAUUGCUUCUGAAUCAGAUUGCGGACAUAGACAUUAAGGCAACAGAAGUAUCGCUAUGGCAGAGCAAAGUGUGGUUACUGCCCUCUCAAAUAAGAAUUCUGGUCUCUUCUGAACGAAAUUGUACUUUAACCCCUAACAUUCUAACAUUACAGUAACUCAAAAUAUCAGUUGAACAUUUAGAAAUACAAUCGAGACAUCCAAAGGAAAGGUGCAGGCCCAGUCAAGAAGGGAAUGUAAGCAUGGAGAAAGAAAGAGCUCCAAGUGUAAACAAUUUUCAUUGACUCACUUUGUAAUGUUAGAAUGUAAUGUUUGUAAUGUUUGACAUCCAAAGAAAAUAUGCAUAUGUGUAUCAGAAUUCUAUUAUUAUUAUUGUUAUUAUUAUCAUCAUCAUUAUUAUUAUCAUUAUUUUUCAUUCUCCUUGUUGCUUGAGGCGGGGUACAACAUGUUAAAACAAGAUAAAACAAAACACUAUUCAAAUACAUAUAACAAAUAUACAAAGAUAAAAUAUAGAUUAAAAUUCACCCUGUGGCUUAAAAUUCACAAGUUAAAAUUGAUUCGAUAGGCCUGCUGGAAGAGGUGGGUGUCAGCUGCAUCUUAAAUUUUGACAGCUGAUUUAGCUGUUGGAUCUCUUCUGACAGGUCAUUUGGUGGAUGGGUAGAUAAUAGGAAUGAGAAAAUUUCUCGGAAUCGUCAUUAAUCGUAAAAAAAUCCUAUCUUUUUGGGUUCCGAAUUGGUUCAGAGGUGGUUUGGCCCUUCAGAAUUAACCUUCUAAUUCGAAGCAUUGGAGCCCAUUUAUUUAAUGGCCUCGAAAACCUUUGGAUAUAUGGGUGAUGGCGCUUCUGCUGGGGAAGGGGAGGAGAAGGAGAGAAAAGCACUCCCAGUUGAUGAGGGCUGCCUCUUGCUCCUCUCCCAGAGAAGGGAAGGAAACGGAGGGAAAGUCAAGCACUUUACUCUCCUUCUCUUUCCCUUCCUCGGCGGCCAUGGCGCUUCUGCCAGGGAAGGGGAGGAGAAAGAGAGAAAAGCACUCCCUGGCAACGAGGGCUGCCUCUUGCUCCUCUCCCAGGGAAGGGAAGGAAACAGAGGGAAAGUCAAGUGCUUUACUCUCCUUCUCUUUCCCUUUGCAGCGAUGGCGCUUCUGCCAGGAGAGAAAAGCACUCCCCAGCGAUGAGGGCUGCCUCGUGAUCCUCUACCAGGGAAGGGAGAAGGAUGAAAAGACCCCGUUGAAAUACCUUGGACACCUUGUUAGCACAGAAUGAGGUGUUCAAUCAAGAGACUGGGAAUUGGAAGAACCAGGGCACAGUUUCUGAGUGGUGAUUACAAGGGCAUGAGUACGAGUGCCAAAGUGGCAGUCUUCGACGCGGCAGGAAGCUGAGCAACCUUGAAGUCUACAUUUGUAAAUCAGCCUGGAUGAUUAUAAAAGUCACGAGCACAGAGAACAUAUGAAACAAUUAUUUUCACCAUUCUUUCACUGUUUUAAUUCAGUCUCAACAAGGGCACAAUGCUAGUAAAAACCACUGUACUUUGUAAAUUUUUGUAAUUGACUUCAGAGUUUCAAACUGGCAUGUAAAGAACAUUAAAAUAGAAAUUCAACCAAGAAUCAUAAUUUCCAGAUGAUGAAAUGGCUUUCAUUGUCAUAAUAGUAUCAUGUUCUGAUGUUUGUGAAAUCACUUUUGGGACACAGGACCUGUAACCUUCUUCCACCCUUCUUUUUCAGUUCCUACUUUCCAAAAUAUUUGAGGUAGAGCAAGGACUUUAACUUACAAAUUUAAGUAUAAGUUUUGACAUGCAAGAUAUACAGUAAUAAGUUAUAUACUUGCAUGAGAGAAAGUUUCAGAAUAAUUGGAAAGUAUAUUAUGGAUAUGAUAUACAUUCACAACACCUCUAUCUAUUUCUCCUCAAAAACAGGUCCCAGUGGAAUUUAAUGACAGGAAGGAGUAUAGAACUUCAGCCUUAACUAAGUAUAAUGAAAAGUUAAGAAACCUUUCAAUGAAACAUAUAAAUUAAAGGGAUUUUACCACUUUGAAAUGUAAAACAAAAUAUAAAAUAGUAUUUAUUUAUUUAUUGGAUUUAUUCCCCACUUUUCUCCCAGAAUGGGAUUAAUUAGAGCAAUAACUCUUUGUGGCAACAAAAUUAAAUGGAGGGCAUUGAAAAUUAAGAUGUAUGCAUCUUUUCAUUUUUAUGUAUUAUUAUCUUUAUUUAUCUAUUGUACUAACCAUAAUUCUUGAUCCUAAAUAUUCUAUUUGGAGGUGCAUUUGACUAAAAAUCAAUAAUAUGAGUAAUUUUUUAAUAUCAUGUAUUUAGGACAAAAUGUGGAAAGCUUGCCAAAUAUCUUUAAUGCAAUACAUAUUGUGAAUGCUCUCAUACCUUUUCCAUCAUGUGUUACUAAAAUAUUGCUUUUUAAAAAUACAACAUUGAAAUUUUCAUUGCAUAUAUUCCUCAUUUAAUAAAUAUAUCUAGAGGAAAUACGUUCUGUUAAAGUCCACUGUCUGUCUAUAUAGGUAUAAUUAUCAGAGACAUGACAAUUACAAUUGUGCUCUCUUUAUUUAUAAAACUCACUUUAAAAGUAUUUUUCUCAGUGCAAGAGCAAUGACAGUUUAUUAUGAAAUAUAUUUGAAGAGUGUCGCUUUUUCAGUGUUCAGUUCACAUGGUUUCAUCAUUUUAUUUCAUAACCUGCAUCUUCAGGGGGAAAUGAAACAAAUCUGUUUUGUUGAUUUAUACCAGCUUGUGCAUUUAAUGUUGAUUGGAGGGCUAUCACAACCAUGUAUCUAACUCUUGAUGGAUUGUAAUGGAAGACUUUUAAUAAAUAAUCAGUAACAUUUAAUAAUGCACUAGGUACUCAGAGUACAAGAGAACGCUGCACUUUGCAUAUACAAUCAAUCACACAAACCCAAUUUCAUUUCCUUAGCUGUGCUAGUAAGGGACUCACUUUCUCUCUCUUUGUAGUUUGUUGUAAUCGUUAGUACUGUAAAUAAAGCAAAGCAAAAGUGAUGUCUCAUUUGAUAAUUCUGCAUACCUUUCAAAUUACUGUUUAGUCUUCCAAAGCCCCAAAACAAAAGGAUGAAUGGACAGUACUAGGUUUUAAAGAUACUUUUCCAUAAGCCUUGCUUGGACGGCUUUAAUUUGUCACCACUUUUCCAAAUGUAGAGGGCGCUGUUGAUCAUGUAUUUUGCAACAGUUUUCACAUGAGAAGUGUGUGUGCAGAGAAGCUCACAUUUGUUUAAUAGCUUGAUGUUUACAUUUUAAAAGUUCCCCAUACAUGGAGAACAAGAACAUUUUAUAUUCUCUUUUAUUUGAGGGCAUUAUGGAAAUAGAUUCUUUAUUCCCCACAAAGGACUGCUGGGUUGCAAACAAUCACUGUCAAAGUUAAAUGUCAAUGUUUCCAUAUAAAACUCCUUUGGCAGAGAUUGAUAACUCAGCUUCGAGUUCCUUGUGUUCCAAAAGUUAUAGGAAAAAUAGUUUCAUUUUGAGAUUUUUGUACAAAAUAAAAGUUUAAGAAUAAAUGAAACACACACACACAUCCAGCUAUUCUGAAAACGACAUGCCAUUCUGCACAUGCAUUUAUACUAAGAAUGCUUUUCUCUUAGUUUUCAGCACACUUUGCAAGCACACAACAGUGUGCAAGAUCACAUCUCAAGGGACAUCUUUUCAAGCAUUGCACAGCAAGCCUUAUAAACGUCACCACCGCAAUUUGAAAAAUUCAGUAAAAACUUAAAUUUGUGUAUUUUUUUUCAUAUGGAUUUAAUCUCAAUAAAAGCAACUCUCCCAUGUAAUACAUGCAAUCAGCAUUGUAUACUAUUUAUUUCAUGCACGGAAAUUCAUAUGUUAGAUGCGAUAUGCCUGUUUUAAAAAAUUAUUCAGCAGUACUGCAUGUAUUUGAAAUAAAAGUUUGAUAAUUGCAAAUA